UCUUUGAUGGUCUAACGGUUAUGAUUUCCGCUUGUCACGCGGGAGACCGGGGUUCUACUCCCCGUCAGGUAGAU
rnacentral:tRNA from 1 species